rnacentral:rRNA from 1 species
GACGAACGCUGGCGGCGUGCCUAACACAUGCAAGUCGAACGGGACUUGAGGGGGCUUGCUCCUCAAGUUUAGUGGCGAACGGGUGAGUAACGCGUGAGAAACCUGCCUCUCAGUGGGGGACAACAGUUGGAAACGACUGCUAAUACCGCAUAAUGUAUUCGGAGGGCAUCCUCUGAAUACCAAAGCUUUAUGUGCUGAGAGAUGGUCUCGCGUCUGAUUAGCUAGUUGGUAGGGUAACGGCCUACCAAGGCGACGAUCAGUAGCCGGACUGAGAGGUUGACCGGCCACAUUGGGACUGAGAUACGGCCCAGACUCCUACGGGAGGCAGCAGUGGGGAAUAUUGGGCAAUGGGCGAAAGCCUGACCCAGCAACG